UACGUAGGGUGCAAGCAUUAAUCGGAAUUAUUGGGCGUAUAGGGCGCGUAGGCGGAUCUUCAAGUCUGAUGUGAAAUCCCGCAGCUCAACUGCGGAAUGGCAUUGGAUACUAUUUGGCUAGAGGGUUGGAGGGGGGACUGGAAUUCUCGGUGUAGCAGUGAAAUGCGUAGAUAUCGAGAGGAACACCAGUGGCGAAGGCGAGUCCCUGGACAACUCCUGACGCUGAGGCACGAAAGCUAGGGGAGCAAACAGG
rnacentral:rRNA from 1 species